AAAUAUCUCUCAUUCUUCGAAGAAGUCAGAAACUGAAGCGCUCGGAGACUGUCAAUCUCACAUAGUCAAAGACUGUGUAUACCAGGGGUACUACAAUGCCAGAACGCUGUCAUAUCUUUUAUGCAGCUCAGUUUUUAUGGACCACUUAAAGUGAAAUGGCACUUCACUAAGGUCUUUCAGCUCUCUCUUUCUUAAUGAGAAGACUGUUAAGAAGACUGACAUCUGAAGUUGUGAUUUUGUGACAAGACAGUUAUCCUUUGGGAAGAGGACAAAAACCACUAGGUUAUUUAAUGAAUGAUAUUGAGGGGAGAGUCAUCUAAUUUUAGUUGCUCUUUCACUGAACAAGUUUUAAAUCCAAAGCUGAGAAGACAAAGAAACACUUUUGAGUCAGGAAGCAGCAAGACUGAAGUGGCAGCAUAAGGGAAGAUGAACUGGGAGCUGAGGGUGACAACUCAUCAGCACAAGGAUCCCAACCAGCAGUCAAUGAUGAGGUUGUGCUUCUGGAGCCAAGACAGCCUGAGGAUGACAGGAUAGAGUGAUUAAGUUGGUGUUGGAGCAGAUGAGUGGAAAUCAAAUCAACUUACACCAGCAGGGGUCUAAGGUUGCAUGUGUUGUCUUGGAUGGGAACCAUGAAGUCCUGGAGAAAGGCAAGCCCAUGGAAGAAAGCAGUAGCCUUUGACUCUGGACACUGAGGACUUGUAGGAUUACAUUUUGUAGAGAUGCCAUCUCUUUUCCUCAGCUGAAGAGUCUGCAAAGAUUUUAUUCUGCUAUAAACCCUUAGAAGUAUGGUGGUGACUAUUGUAAUACAAAGAGUGAUUUAGCCAGGUCUUGGAAAGCAUUAUCUACAAAGUUUUUCAAAAUUAUUACAGAGCUUACAAGACUGGGUGAUGUCUAUAAUGCUUCAUAAAAUAUCCCAUCUAAAUAAAGCUGUUAGAAUGUGGCCUU